CGCUCCACCCCCGCCGUAAAGGCCCGCCCCCAAGCAAAACCCAAGCCGCCGCCACCUUACUGUUCUCCCGCCUCCCUGCAGCCUCGGACCAAUGCGAGACGCUGGCGCCGAUGAGUUGGAGAUUAGAGAGGAGUCACUGCACGUUGAAGCUUGAUAUCCAGUAUUCUAUAACCAUUAUUUUAUAUAUUUUCUCUGAAGUUUUUGGUUGUUACAGGCAGAAAGCCUUAGUCUUCAGGCUUCUGCUUCCUCCUGGGAGAUGAUGACCUUUGAAGACAUUCAGCUAUAAAAGAGACCAGUUUCAUCAACAAUAAAAG